GAUCAAAAGAAAAGAAUCAUUACUUUGGCACAUGAAUGUCCAAAAAUAGAGUUAGAAGUGAUUAUACCAUAAUGUCUAAUAGUGUAUCGCAAUGUUUUACAAUAUACCCUAAAAGUUUCACAAUAAACAUAAAGAGUAUCACACCAAAAGUAUGCUGAACCAAAACUAUCUCAAUAUACACCAACAUAUAAACACAACCAAAAAUAUGCUAAAACAAAAGUGUGCUGAAAAUUGAUGUAGAACAUCGUGGCUUUAAGAGUGCUUGUACUUGCUGUGAGGAGGUAGACUAAGAGGCUGCAAGUCAUCGGGAGGUAGGAUGGGAGGUUGCAGGCUUUGAGGAGGCAAGCUAAGAGGUUACACACUACAAGAAGUCAGACUUGAAGACUUUUGGUUCUGAGGAGGUAGGCAAGGAAGUUGAUGGCUAUGAGGAGGCAGGCUGGGAGCUUGUAGCUUUCUUCUUGGAUGAUCUCUCAAUAUGCUGAACCUGAAAAAUAGACAGAAGAUCAAAUAUAAGUACAUAUGAGAUAUAAUGGUUGAGUGAUGAAACAUAAGUACAUAAUACCUAUCCUCUUUCCCUUUUGCUGAUCCUUGGCUGCUGGUUUAACUAGAUCUAAUGCCCUAUCCUUCUUCUUUGUUUUCUCCUUUUGGGCCCUUUGCAAAUCCUAAAGUUAUGGCCCCAUUGAAGGUAAUUGUCAUCUUAGAGACGUGCCCUUUCUUAUUAUUCUAGAAGAAUCCUUUGGCUCAUCCUCUUCUUUUGUUUUUGCCUUUUUGGAUCUUUCUAAAAGAGCCCAUAGGGGAGGGAGAGUAACAGUGGGGUACCCUAUCCUUGGCCAAGACUAAAUGCCAGGGGCUAGCUGAAUGACGUGCUCAUAAGCCUGGGCAAAUAUAUCUCUGUUGUAUUAGGCACUAACAAAGUGCUCUACCUCCUUUCUAAUGAACAUAAUUACUGCCAUAUCAUGACAGAAUGGGAUGCUUGAUAGAUCCCAUCUCCUGCAUCCACAGGCACUCUCUCUUAAAUUUAAGACAUAUCUUCUAUUACAAUGCUCAACUUCAAAUUUCUACCCUCCUUAUAUGCAAUGAAAAUUCAUGGCCUCUAACUUAGCUCUCUCCAGCUUUUGUAUCCUGAGGCAUAGAGGACCUGCUAUCCAAUUCUUCUCUCUUAACUUGGAGUCGUUGCAUUAACAAUUUUCUUAUAGUCUCCAAUAAGGUGAUAAUAGGUUUGUCUCGAGCCUCAAUUAUAUAAUGUUGAAGGACUUGUAUAUGUAAUUCAACAGCAUGUUGGACAUGUAUCUUGAGCUGAACAUGUGCAUUGACCACAAUUUAGGUGGUUGUUGUGCGAGCCCUACCAUGCCUUCGUAUCCAACUACUGAAUCUCCUACAUGGUAGCUUGAAAGUUAUGUAAGUGGUCGCUCUAGCAUAUUUCCAAAAUGAAUCUCUAAAAUUCAUACCUUUGAAGUCUACACUUUGAAAAUUUACAUGCAAGUACUACACACAAAAUCUGUUAUUGACACUACGAACAACUGUCUAAAAUAUCUCAAUUAAACUUAUAACACAAGUGUUGAACAAGUGAACUAGUUAGUACAAGUUAGCAGAUGUUAGUACUGAAAACUAGAUGUAUUGAAUAACCAAUACUUAUUUUCUAUCUAUCAGAUACAAAGUUCCAUCCAUAGUUGUCUAGGGGCCCAAUAUCUCCUAAUAGGUAUGUAAGAAACUAGCUUCAACUAUCCUUCAACUAUGCCUCGACCAUGGCCCAUGCAAUGAGGAACAUAUUGUUAUUAUCAUCCUUCCCCAUUGCAGCUAGUAGUUGCCCCCUAAAUAAUCUCUUAGGUAACAUCCAUUGAGUCCAAUGAUGAGUUUGCAUCAUCUUAUAAACUUAUACUUGCAUGCAGAAAGACAACAAUACAACCUCCUAAAUCUUGGCUGGCUAGCCUCAUCUAGCCUUCUAACAUCCAACAACAUUGUGCUUCUGGGAUUAGUCCUCUUGAUGAUCUCGCAGUAUUCCCAUAGGUAGGCAUAUUGCUCCUUUUGUCACCCUUGAAUGAUCUCCAGUGUUCUUAUCUUGACUUUGCAGCAUCAAGUCCUAGAAAUAGAAAUCUUGACACCCCUCCUCACUUGCCCCUGAAGCCUUUAAUACUCCACUUUGCAUCAAAUCUGAUCUCCUAGAGUUACUUCUCCAUAAGAAACCAAGAUGUUAUAUUAUGAUUUUCAAAUUACCUUCGCACCUGUGCACUAGUUGGAAGAUCUUGAUUUGGUAGACGUCCACCCUUUGAACCUGUGAAACGUAUAUCUUGCGCCUAUAACUUUUCUUGCAUACAGCUAUGACCUUGCUUUUCUCAUUUUUCUUAUAUUUCACAAAAUCAAAUCCUUCCUGAAUCAAAUAAAGCCUCAGCGCCUUCCUAAAUAUAGUUGUGGAGCAAAACUUUAUCCCAACCGCAAGCUUGACCGUCUUCUUAGUAUUUCAUUGUAAUACUAUUGUAUUACAAAGAUCUUCUCCUUCUUCCCUUGUUUUAACAGCCAAGAUUCCAAUUUAUAAUGAGAGGUACCACUGGAUACCAUACCUCAUUUACAUUUUGGAUGGAGAUCUUGGAUUAGCAAGAGAUACUUAAAGAGUUAUGCUGCUGCUACUGAGUAAUUAUUUCAUAGGAUACAAUUAAGAGUUAUUGCUUAGAACGUUUAUUACCCUAAUGGACCAUUACUGAAAGUUCAUUUCCUAUCAGUAAUCCAGUUUUGAUAAAGAUCUUUCACAACCGGAUUGGAAUUCCUAUUUACUAAUAGUCAAACAAGGCCUGUAUAAAGACUAAUUUGUUGAGACGUACACACCCCUCUCCGCACUAGAUCCUUGUUGGAAUCUUCACCCAGCCAUCCUCAAGCUUGGGUUUGGAUAUUUUGGCAUCAGUUUGCGAAGCAGGUUCACGCCUUCACCUCUAUUUUGACGGUCCCUCGAUCAUGCUCCAUUGAACAAACUUGCCGCACGGCAUCUGAGGUUGGAACUCCAGCAAGCAUAAUUCCCAGCACACCCACCCACUGUUGGCACAUUAGAUAAACAGAUGGCAAGUUGGGCUAGAAUCAUUCAGAGAUGCAAUCAUUGCAGCCUACUUGUUGAACUGUUCAAACUCAGCCACUAAUCAAAUGUCUUUGUUUCCGGCAGCGCACAAAGAAGGGGAGAUUUUCUAUUAUGGAACUUUAAGGCACCUAAGGGAUGGCAGAGGAGCUCAAUUUAGGAGACGUCUGCACCGAGACAUAUCUAUAUGUCAAGUUCCUAUGGGACAUGGAGGACUCUUUAUUUGCAGUGAAUCAAUAAUGGUUAAGAGUCCUAGGCUUCAGAGAAGCAUUAACAAAAAAUUGCUAUUGGAGAUAAAGAAAAUGCAUGCUCUGUUUGAUCCAGUGAUCCCUGCAUGAUGGUUGAAACAACUGAAUUGGCAACUUCACUGCUGCCGUGUUCAUACAUUCCUGGACAGGCAAAAUUUGCAAAUUCCACAUCUCAAGGCUUCACCUGCUCCCUGGGUGCGAGCAUUUUUUGAUAGCUGAUUUUGAAUAGACUUUGACUAAUGACAACCUUAUCAAGCCAAGGUGGUCAGGAGAUAUCCACUUGUGUAAUCUGCCAAGUUGGUGUAUAGAUAACCAUCAGUUGUUCAUCAAAUGCUUGUAUCAGGCCCAUUUGGGAGCAUCAGUCUUUUUGGUUUCAAUGCCAGUUGGCAUCUCUUCCAACAGCAUAGUGUAAAUGGAGGCAGGGCCAUCUGCUGCCCUGAAAUAGGAUUUGCUAUUAGUUACCUUCAGGAGUCCUGGGCUUUGCUGUUAGCCGCCUUCAGUACUUUUAAUCCUCUUGGAUUGAUGCAGCCUCCAACUGAUGCUGCCACAGAUAAGGAUCCUCUCCACCUUGCCUGCAGUAGGCCAUGCCACCCACCAGCCCUCAGCAUCGAGCUCCCUUCAAUUUCCUACCAAAAGUAAGGAACUCUGGUCCUUGCUAGGCUUGUGGGGGGUUUCCAUCUUUAUAGUAAACCCGGGCCCUCUCAGUUUGUUGAUUCAUGUGAGACGAGUCUCUAUCUAUCUAUCUAUCUAUCUAUCUAUCUCGCUCUCACACACACACAUGCACCACACAUGCGCACGGAGUGUAGGAUCAUCCCUAUUAAAUAUAAGAAAAAUGCUUGUUAUUCACCAGAUAAGCACCGAAGACAGCAACACUUGAAACCAAAACCUUCAGCAAGAAUUUUCUGCCGAGCCUCACNNN
rnacentral:lncRNA from 1 species